CGCACGGGUGAGUAACGCGUAUGCGACCUGCCCGUUGCAGGGGGGAUAAUCGGGAGAAGUCCCGUCUAAUACCGCGUAACGCCGCGGGGCUGCAUGGCCCUGCGGCCAAAGGGAGCGAUUCCGGCAACGGAUGGGCAUGCGUGACAUUAGCUAGUUGGCGGGGCAACGGCCCACCAAGGCGACGAUGUCUAGGGGUUCUGAGAGGAAGGUCCCCCACACUGGUACUGAGACACGGACCAGACUCCUACGGGAGGCAGCAG
rnacentral:rRNA from 1 species